GAGGUUGUGGCUCAGUGGUAGAGCACUUGCUUCGCAUGUGUGAGGCACUGGGUUUGAUCCUCACUACCACA
rnacentral:tRNA from 1 species